AUGAAGCUGCUACUUUCUGUCAGUCUCCUUUGGAUUUUCUCCAUUUCAGCUGAAGGACUCCAGUGUCUGAGCUGCACUGAUUCAACGUGUUCAACUAUAGAAUCUGUCACAUGUUCCACUGAGACAAUGUGUAUCACAGCUUCUAUUCUCGUUUCUUCUGAGUUCACUCUCUUCAGAGGCUGUGCAUCUUCCUCUCUGUGUUCAUCAAAGACAUUCUCACUGCAUCUGGGUUCUCCUAGAAGACGUAUAUCUGCUGAGUGCUGUGACACGGACAACUGCAACUCUCAGACCUUACCCAGUCCUACGCCUCAGUCUCCCAAUGAUCUGCAAUGUUUCUAUUGUCCUGAUGAUGAUCAUUGUGAUGAUGUAUUGGACUGUGAAGGAGAUGAGAACAUGUGUAUUCAAGGAAAUGCAAAGAGUGGUACUCCAAUUCGCGGCUGUGCGUCUGCCAAUAUGUGCCAAGCUGCAUCAAUCAAUGGAGAGCUGCCAUUUUAUGAAGAUCUUGGUGAACUUACGAGUGGAACCACAUGUUGUGAUACUGAUCUGUGUAACAAUGGACUCCAGUGUCUGAACUGCACUGAUUCAACGUGUUCAACUAUAGAAUCUGUCACAUGUUCCACUGAGACAAUGUGUAUCACAGCUUCUAUUCUCGAUUCUUCUUCUGAGUUCACUGUCUUGAAAGGCUGUGCAUCACCCUCUCUGUGUUCAUCCACGGGCCCAAAGACAUUCUCAGUGGAUCUGGGGCGCUCUGGUAGACUUAUAUCUGCUGACUGCUGUGAAACGGACAACUGCAACUCUCAGACUUUACCCAGCCCUACCCUUACUUCAUCUCCUAAUGGUAUUCGCUGCUUGUUCUGUUCUGAUGAUGAUCGGUGUGAUGUUAUCUUAAACUGUCAAGGAGAGGAAGACAUUUGUAUUAAAGGAAAUGCAAAGAACGGCACUGCAGUACAAGGCUGUGUGUCUGCUGGUCUGUGCCAAGCUGCAUCAAUCAAAGGAGAGCUGCCAUUUUAUGAAGAUCUUGGUGAACUUACGAGUGGAACCACAUGUUGUGAUACUGAUCUGUGUAACGAUGGACUCCAGUGUCUGAGCUGCAUUGAUUCAACGUGUACAACUAUAGAAUCUGUCACAUGUUCCACUGAGACAAUGUGUAUCACAGCUUCUAUUCUCGAUUCUUCUUCUGAGUUCACUGUCUUGAGAGGCUGUGCAUCACCCUUUCUGUGUUCAUCCACGGGCCCAAAGACAUUCUCAGUGGAUCUGGGGCGCUCUGGUAGACUUAUAUCUGCUGACUGCUGUGAAACGGACAACUGCAACUCUCAGACUUUACCCAGCCCUACCCUUACUUCAUCUCCUAAUGGUAUUCGCUGCUUGUUCUGUUCUGAUGAUGAUCGGUGUGAUGUUAUCUUGGACUGUCAAGGAGAGGAAGACAUUUGUAUUAAAGGAAAUGCAAAGAACGGCACUGCAGUACAAGGCUGUGUGUCUGCUGGUCUGUGCCAAGCUGCAUCAAUCAAAGGAGAGCUGCCAUUUUAUGAAGAUCUUGGUGAACUUACGAGUGGAACCACAUGUUGUGAUACUGAUCUGUGUAACGAUGCUGAAGGACUCCAGUGUCUGAGCUGCACUGAUUCAACGUGUUCAACUAUAAAAUCUGUCACAUGUUCCACUGAGACAAUGUGUAUCACAGCUUCUAUUCUCGAUUCUUCUUCUGAGUUCACUGUCUUCAGAGGCUGUGCAUCACCCUUUCUGUGUUCAUCCACGGGCCCAAAGACAUUCUCAGUGGAUCUGGGGCGCUCUGGGAGACUUAUAUCUGCUGACUGCUGUGAAACGGACAACUGCAACUCUCAGACUUUACCCAGCCCUACCCCUACUUCAUCUCCUAAUGGUAUUCGCUGCUUGUUCUGUUCUGAUGAUGAUCGGUGUGAUGUUAUCUUAAACUGUCAAGGAGAGGAAGACAUUUGUAUUAAAGGAAAUGCAAAGAACGGCACUGCAGUACAAGGCUGUGUGUCUGCUGGUCUGUGCCAAGCUGCAUCAAUCAAUGGAGAGCUGCCAUUUUAUGAAGAUCUUGGUGAACUUACGAAUGGAACCACAUGUUGUGAUACUGAUCUGUGUAACGAUGCUGAAGGACUCCAGUGUCUGAGCUGCACUGAUUCAACGUGUUCAACUAUAAAAUCUGUCACAUGUUCCACUGAGACAAUGUGUAUCACAGCUUCUAUUCUCGAUUCUUCUUCUGAGUUCACUGUCUUCAGAGGCUGUGCAUCACCCUUUCUGUGUUCAUCCACGGGCCCAAAGACAUUCUCAGUGGAUCUGGGGCGCUCUGGGAGACUUAUAUCUGCUGACUGCUGUGAAACGGACAACUGCAACUCUCAGACUUUACCCAGCCCUACCCCUACUUCAUCUCCUAAUGUUAUUCGCUGCUUGUUCUGUUCUGAUGAUGAUCGGUGUGAUGUUAUCUUAAACUGUCAAGGAGAGGAAGACAUUUGUAUUAAAGGAAAUGCAAAGAACGGCACUGCAGUACAAGGCUGUGUGUCUGCUGGUCUGUGCCAAGCUGCAUCAAUCAAAGGAGAGCUGCCAUUUUAUGAAGAUCUUGGUGAACUUACGAGUGGAACCACAUGUUGUGAUACUGAUCUGUGUAACGAUGGACUCCAGUGUCUGAGCUGCACUGAUUCAACGUGUUCAACUAUAAAAUCUGUCACAUGUUCCACUGAGACAAUGUGUAUCACAGCUUCUAUUCUCGAGACCAGAACAAAUUCUUCUUCAGAGUUCAGUCUCUUUAGAGGAUGUGCAUCUUCCUCUCUGUGUUCAUCCACGGGCCCAAAGACAUUCUCAGUGGAUGUGGGUUUCCUAGGCAGACUUAUAUCUGCUGAAUGCUGUGACACAGACAACUGCAACUCUCAGACCUUACCCAGUCCUACCCUUCAAUCUUUCAAAAAUCUGCGCUGCUUCUUUUGUUUUGGUAAUCGGUGCGAUCUUAUCGUCGACUGUCAAGGAGAGGAGGACAGGUGUAUUCAAGGAAAUGAGAUGGGCAGUACUGCACUUCGUGGCUGUGCGUCUGCCAGUAUGUGCCAAGCCGCAUCGGAUGGGGGAGUGCCGUCAUUUUUUGAAGGUGUUGGUGAACUAACGAAUGAACCCACCUGUUGUACAACUGAGUUAUGUAACAAUGGAAGUAUCGUUUAACAACUGCGUCAACAAAAGUUACAAUAUUAUUCUUGAUGAUAAACAAUCAUCCAUUAUAAUUCAGCUUUUGUAAUUAGGGUUUAGAACUCUCUGACAAAUAAAAAAACUGGCAGAGAUUUGUAACGGCCGGAU
ensembl:lncRNA extracellular matrix protein A-like